GUGAGCAGUACGAGCUGAAAGGCUCCCAUACUGUUUGGAGGGCAGGGGGCAUAGAUGCCAAACAAACCUGACCCCUAU
rfam:Vitis vinifera complete mitochondrial genome, cultivar Pinot noir clone ENTAV115